GACGAACGCUGGCGGCGUGCUUAACACAUGCAAGUCGAACGAAGUGGCGAACGGGUGAGUAACGCGUAAUCAACCUGCCCUUCAGUGGGGGACAACAGUUGGAAACGACUGCUAAUACCGCAUACUGAAGGAGGGGAUUGCGUCUGAUUCGGUAGUUGGAGGGGUAACGGCCCACCAAGGCGAUGGACAGUAGGCGGUCUGAGGGGAUGGACGGCCACAAUGGGAAUGAGGAACGGGCCAGACUCCUACCGGAGGCAGCAAUGGGGGAUCUUCCGAAAUGGGCGAAAGUCUGGCGGAGCAACGCCCGGUGAGGGAUGACGGCCUUCGGGUUGUAAAGCCCUGUUUAUCAGGACGCGGUACCGGAAUAGAAAGCCACGGCUAACUACGUGCCAGCCGCCGCGGUAAUAC
rnacentral:rRNA from 1 species